AGUGAACGCUGGCGGUAUGCCUAACACAUGCAAGUCGAACGGCAGCACAGUAAGAUCUUGCUCUUACGGGUGGCGAGUGGCGGACGUGUGACGAUUACAUCGUAAUCUUCUUUUUCGUGGGGGAUCACGUAGGUAAACUUACUCUAAUACCGCAUACUCCCUACGGUUGAAAGCAUUGGAUCUUCUGAUCUUUUGCGAUUGAAUUAGCCGAUGUCGGAUUGGCUUGUUGGCGGGGUAAAGUCCCAGCAUGUCGACGAUCCGUAGCUGGUCUGAGAGGAUGAUAGGCAACACUAGAACUGAGACACGGACAAGGCUACUAAGGGAGGCAGCAGUGGGGAAUAGUAGGCAGUGGGCGCAAGCAUGAUACAGCCAUAGCGAGUGGGAGAAGAAGGCCUUCGGGUUGUAAAGACCUUUUGUUGGGAAAGAAAAGCAGCAGGUUGAUACGAAGCUGGUGUGACGGUAACCAAAGAAGAAGCACCGGCUAACUACGUG
rnacentral:rRNA from 1 species